rnacentral:rRNA from 1 species
CAGCCGUAAACAAUGUGCGUUAGGUGUGUCGGUAACCACGCGUUACUGAUGCGCCGAAGAGAAAUCGUGAAACGCACCACCUGGGAAGUACGGUCGCAAGGCUGAAACUUAAAGGAAUUGGCGGGGGGAGCACCACAACAGGUGGAGCCUGCGGUUUAAUUGGAUUCAACGCCGGACAUCUCACCGGAUAAGACAGCUGAAUGAUUGUCAAUCUGAAGGUUUUACAUGACUAGCUGAGAGGUGGUGCAUGG